rnacentral:tRNA from 4 species
ACGCCGGUACGUUUAACGGUAAAAUCGGUGCCUCCGGGCAUAUAUGCGGGUUCGACUCCCGCCCGGCGUC